CAAACUGAAGAUGGCGACCGGCGCACGGGUGAGUAACACGUAUCCAACCUGCCGAUAACUCCGGAAUAGCCUUUCGAAAGAAAGAUUAAUACCCGAUGGCAUAGUUCUUCCGCAUGGUAGAACUAUUAAAGAAUUUCGGUCAUCGAUGGGGAUGCGUUCCAUUAGGUUGUUGGCGGGGUAACGGCCCACCAAGCCUUCGAUGGAUAGGGGUUCUGAGAGGAAGGUCCCCCACAUUGGAACUGAGACACGGUCCAAACUCCUACGGGAGGCAGCAUG
rnacentral:rRNA from 1 species